GACAGCUUAUAUAAUGGAAAAUAUACACUAAACAUUUAUACCAUAACGAGACGCUAUUCGAGUAGUAUCAAUGUGUAUAUCGCUGUUCCCACAUCAUGUUUCUCGAUGACAAGAAUUUCAGCUGAUAUGCCAUUCAACAUAUCUUCUACUAAAAACGGUUCCAUUGAGGCCCUCUCACCGACAACUAAUCCGCAAUCAAGUGUCUUUGCAUCUACAAACGGUAACUGAGUUUUUCGAGUUUACUUUUUUGCGUUUUGCUAAUGUUCAGCCCAUAGUUUAAAGUAUAGCUACCAAAGUAUACUAUGUUCAUAAUGCUAAAAACAUAUUGCGAAGAAAAAAGAACUGUUGAUCGAAUUGCUGUUGCUUUAGUUUCCAGUUGUGCUUGAAUUGA